GAUGAACGCUGGCGGCGUGCCUAACACAUGCAAGUCGAACGAAGCACUUCGAUUCCUUCGGGAUGAAGGGUGACUGAGUGGCGGACGGGUGAGUAACGCGUGGGUAACCUGCCUCACACAGGGGGAUAACAGUUGGAAACGACUGCUAAUACCGCAUAAGCGCACAGUACCGCAUGGUACAGUGUGAAGAGUUUUUUCGGUGUGAGAUGGACCCGCGUCUGAUUAGCUAGUUGGCGGGGUAACGGCCCACCAAGGCGACGAUCAGUAGCCGGCCUGAGAGGGUGGACGGCCACAUUGGGACUGAGACACGGCCCAA
rnacentral:rRNA from 1 species